AUUCCUACGGGACGCAGAAGUGAGGAAUAUUGGUCAGUGGGCGGAAGCCUGAACCAGCCAAGUCGCGUGAGGGAAUAAGGCCCUACGGGUCGUAAACCUCUUUUGCCGGGGAGCAAGGGCGGGGACGUGUCCCGGCCCGGAGAGUACCCGGAGAAAAAGCAUCGGCUAACUCCGGGCCAGCAGCCGCGGUAAUACGGAGGAUGCGAGCGUUAUCCGGAUUUAUUGGGGUUAAAGGGGGCGUAGGCGGGCUUUUAAGUCAGCGGUAAAAGUUCGGGGC
rnacentral:rRNA from 1 species